ensembl:lncRNA
AGAACCUUUCCUGAGCUUGGUGUAGUCUUGUGCCUCAGUUGGGUGUGUGUUUUCACCAAUGCUUCCAUAAUUUCUACCUCAUGUGAACCUUCAAAUACUGCAGGGCUGAGGAGUGAUACUGAGUUGCUAAUACUGAAGUGAAUGUCAGUUGCUAGUGCAACAUGCUGUUGAUUCAAGCUCUCUCUGGCUUCCCUUUGUGUUGGGAAUGAUCUUUAUUUCUAUAUGCUGUGGUUGCUGGAGGCCUUGGCAGGCAGUUCUGAGAUGACUCACCAGAGGAGCAGAAGAAACAGAGAAAGCAGAUGAGAGUGCCCCUGGAGGUCUUCAGUAUCUGUGAAGACUUGUCUACAAUAUACCAGUCAGCCAGCUGGUAUUGCCAGCCAGCCAGCAUCCUUGUCAUCCAGGACCACUUGCUUAGCUGUUGAAGACAGCUUUCUGGUUGUGAUUUGCAUACAGAAGCUUCUUGAGCAUUAGCCCUGUUUUCUGUCUUUCCCUAGGCGUAGAAACAACAUUAUCAAUCACUGAAAACUUCCUCUUGGACUAAGUUUUCUGUCAUACAUCUGCUGUUCAUGUUAACAUGAAAGCAAAGAAUAUUAAUUAUGUAUAAUUACAAGUAAAAUAUAUGUCAGUGGUGCUAGGAAUCCAUUUCACUUUUGGUGGAACCCCUACUUAAAUGAAAGUUGUUACAGUUGCCUCUGGUCCAAAAUCUUUUUGUUUGAAGCCAAUGGAGCAAUGCAUAGCUGUGGUGUUGUCACUGUCAGUAUUUCCAUUUGCAUGUUAUGACUCUUUCAUGACUACUGAGUGCAUGCAUUACAAUACAAUAAAGUCUUUCCUUACUAGGAGAACUUUGUAAAUAGAAACAGCCCAGCUGGGGAACAGCUUCAUGAUAUUGACAAGAUCUCAGUUCUACUUACAUGUCACAUAAAUGUUGGCCUUGUGUUUUAUACCAAGUCAUGCUAUUGCCAGAAGUCGUGUUCAGUGUGAGCUGCUGGGAAACACCAGCUGGAUCAGUGAGACAGCUCUCGUAUUGAAAUUAUUGGGUUUCUGUGGUCAGACAGAAAUAAAUGUGAGGAACGGUUCCAGACCAAUAAAUGCCUUGAAGGAUGCUGUGAGCAAAUAAGGAACAUAUAAUGAAAAGACAAAAAUCAACAAGAAAAGUUGUGUCUUGAGAGGUAAUCCUCACUUCAUCUUGCAGUUCCAAAGGCAAUGUGAAUGAUGUUUUUUAUGUUGGAAUUUCUAAUAUUUCAAACUAAGUAUGCAU